UUAUGGACCUAAUAAGAAACGGAGAGAAGAGACUAAAAUGGACCCCAGGGGCACUUCUUGUUUUCAAAGAUCUGAAGUGACAUUUCUGCUCUGCCUCUAUUGUGAGACAACCUGACCCCCAACUUCCAUUCCAGGUGGAAGUAGAUGCCUCUGAGGUGGGCAUCGGGGCAGUCCAGGCCAAAGGGACCCCCUCUCUGGUGCUUACAGAUCACCGCAACUUGCAAUAUCUUCGAGAAGCCAAACGUCUUAAUGCCCGCCAAGCUUACUGGGCACUGUUCUUCACCCAUUUCAACUUUCAGGUCACCUACCUCCCUGGUCCCAGGAAUGUCAAGGCAGAUGCCCUCUCUCGCCGAUUCCCCUCAACGAAGAAACUCUAACCAUUGUUACAUAUCUUGCCUUCCUCUUGUUUUCUGAGCCCUGUCACCUGGGACCUGGAACAACGUCUCCUUGACUUUAAUCAGAAUGCUCCUCCUCCUCCGGAAUGCCCGCCAGAGAAGACCUUUGUUCCCUCUCAGCUACACAAUGAAGUCCUCCAAUGGGUGCACACAUCUCUAGGGUCAGGACAUCCUGGGAUCAAAGCCACUUCCUGCAUUCUGGAGAAACACUACUGGUGGCCAAGGUGGCGUACGGAAACGGAAAGUUGCAGUCCAUCCUUCUUGCCCUUCCUGAGUCUUCUGCGCCUCCUGCCUGCCCUCCUUGUCCACCUGUCCCGUGAAGCCCCUCGUGUAUUCCCCCGUGUUCGUCAUCUGCGUCGCAGGACUGAUCUACCGGCUUCUCGACCUUCGGCUUCCCCUCUCACAACGACGACUUUGGAUUGCAUUUUGGCUUCUGGCAUUAGGAUCGGACAGCUCUUAACAAUGACUUGGACCCAGCUAUCGACUACCCCUUGUUUGAUCCCUAAUA